rnacentral:tRNA from 4 species
GGGGCCGUAGCUCAGCUGGGAGAGCGCUCCUCUCGCACGGGAGAGGUCGCCGGUUCGAAUCCGGUCGGCUCCA